rnacentral:rRNA from 1 species
CCAGAGAACUUUCCAGAGAUGGAUUGGUGCCUUCGGGAACUCUGAGACAGGUGCUGCAUGGCUGUCGUCAGCUCGUGUUGUGAAAUGUUGGGUUAAGUCCCGCAACGAGCGCAACCCUUAUCCUUUGUUGCCAGCGGUCCGGCCGGGAACUCAAAGGAGACUGCCAGUGAUAAACUGGAGGAAGGUGGGGAUGACGUCAAGUCAUCAUGGCCCUUACGAGUAGGGCUACACACGUGCUACAAUGGCGCAUACAAAGAGAAGCGACCUCGCGAGAGCAAGCGGACCUCAUAAAGUGCGUCGUAGUCCGGAUUGGAGUCUGCAACUCGACUCCAUGAAGUCGGAAUCGCUAGUAAUCGUAGAUCAGAAUGCUACGGUGAAUACGUUCCCGGGCCUUGUACACACCGCCCGUCACACCAUGGGAGUGGGUUGCAAAAGAAGUAGGUAGCUUAACCUUCGGGAGGGCGCUUACCACUUUGUGAUUCAUGACUGGGGUGAAGUCGUAACAAGGUAGGCGUAGUGCU